rnacentral:lncRNA from 1 species
UCUUACCACAUACUCAUCCUCAUAGCCUUCGUCAUCAGUCUCCCCAGUGGUGGGAUCACAGUCCUUGACAGUGAACUUCAUCAUGCAGCUGAAUGUGCAGGCCACUUAGGAUAUAGCCUGCAUUAAGGGCCUUCUGCUUCUGCUCCAGGACAUUUAGGUAGAAGGUGGCUCGGUCCCUUACUUCAUUGUCAUCAUCCAUCACAC